CAAUACAGUUGAUUUGGACAUUGUUGGAAAAAAUAUUCAACACAUAUGGACCGAUGAGGAAGGAAAAGAUGCAACAUGGCAUGGAGAAGUCCUGAGUUAUGACAACGGUGUUUUCAAGGUAAAUUAUUGGUCGCAAACUGACAAAGCAGAUGAGGAAACCUAUCUGUUAACACCAGCGGAAAUACAGGCUGACAUCAAAGAUGGAUGUUUAACAUUUGAAGACCCAGGAAGUGAAAUACAUUGAGUGGUAAGUCAAUUUUAAUUACACUGUUUGAAACAGACUAUACUUACUUCUUGUGUAUAAUAUAGUUAGAUUUACCUCCCUUAUUGUUCUGAAUUUAUUUGCAGUACAUUGAUUGUAGAUUGGAUUGUCUCCCUUG